UGGCGGCAGGCCUAACACAUGCAAGUCGAGCGCAGUCCUUCGGGACCGAGCGGCGGACGGGUUAGUAACGCGUGGGAACAUACCCUUUUCUACGGAAUAGCCUCGGGAAACUGAGAGUAAUACCGUAUAAGCCCUUCGGGGGAAAGAUUUAUCGGGAAAGGAUUGGCCCGCGUUAGAUUAGAUAGUUGGUGGGGUAAUGGCCUACCAAGUCUACGAUCUAUAGCUGGUUUUAGAGGAUGAUCAGCAACACUGGGACUGAGACACGGCCCAGACUCCUACGGGAGGCAGCAGUGGGGAAUCUUAGACAAUGGGCGCAAGCCUGAUCUAGCCAUGCCGCGUGUGUGAUGAAGGUCUUAGGAUCGUAAAGCACUUUCGCCAGGGAUGAUAAUGACAGUACCUGGUAAAGAAACCCCGGCUAACUCCGUGCCAGCAGCCGCGGUAAUACGGAGGGGGUUAGCGUUGUUCGGAAUUACUGGGCGUAAAGCGUACGUAGGCGGAUCAGAAAGUAGGGGGUGAAAUCCCAGGGCUCAACCCUGGAACUGCCUCCUAAACUCCUGGUCUUGAGUUCGAGAGAGGUGAGUGGAAUUCCAAGUGUAGAGGUGAAAUUCGUAGAUAUUUGGAGGAACACCAGUGGCGAAGGCGGCUCACUGGCUCGAUACUGACGCUGAGGUACGAAAGUGUGGGGAGCAAACAGGAUUAGAUACCCUGGUAGUCCACACCGUAAACGAUGAAUGCCAGUCGUCGGGCAGUAUACUGUUCGGUGACACACCUAACGGAUUAAGCAUCCGC
rnacentral:rRNA from 1 species